CACGUAGGGGGCGAGCGUUGUCCGGAUUCAUUGGGCGUAAAGCGCGCGUAGGCGGCCCAGAAAGUCGGUUGUGAAAGCCCGGGGCUCAACCCCGGGACUGCAUCCGAUACUCCUGGGCUGGAGGUAGGUAGGGGAGAUCGGAAUUCCUGGUGUAGCGGUGAAAUGCGCAGAUAUCAGGAGGAACACCGGUGGCGAAGGCGGAUCUCUGGGCCUUACCUGACGCUGAGGCGCGAAAGCUAGGGGAGCGAACAGG
rnacentral:rRNA from 1 species